UUGCCAAUUUUGUUGAUUAUGGGGGAUUUGAAUUAGAGUGUUUUUCAUGAACUAGGCAAGACUUUCUACUUAUUAGCUUAAAGCUGGAGCUUUGUUUUACAAGCAAGUAAUCAAGCAUCCGAUUGAGUCAGUUUCAUGUUGAUGUGGGGAUGGAGCGGAUCAUUUCUCUUUCUAAAAUCAAAUGCAUUAUAGGUCUUGGGCUGCCAGCCUGCCAACGUUAAGGUAUUCCCACAAAAUGGCCUAGAAAUUCAACUAUCUGGCUCCGGUGCUUCUGGAAAUUCACCAACAACUUUAUCACCAGCUGUUUUGACUGUAGACUGGACAUGUAUGGCUGCAGCUGAUGUGUUUUUACCUAUUGAGGUGAAGUAGUAUCUUAACUUUUGAAUUUACAGGUAAAAAGGCACGAAAAACACCUUAUGAAGUGGAAAUCACUAUUCCCGUGGAGAAUUAUGAGCCAGUGAAGUUUACUCUCACAAAAAUGUGCGAUCAUAGACAAGAUGAUGGGAAGGAGGCAAGAAAAGGAUGGGCUAUAUUUGGGAUAAUAUCCUGCAUGUGGGGAAUUUAAUGUUUCUAAAUAAUAGCUUUAUCAUUUUGGUAGUUUAUUUUCUUUAGAUGCUGCCAGUGUGUAGCAAUUGCAUGUUGCUUCCAGUCCACUUCCAAACGAUUUACCCUCCGUCUUAUCUUCUACCUUCAUAAUCUCACUUGCUGAAAACUCAGAUAACGAAACAAAUAUACAGUAUGACUCAUCCCUUCCAGUUUGCCAAUUACUAUGCACUAUUUAACCUGUUUUAUGUGCUUAUACUUGAAAGAAAAGAUUGCUUUCUUUGCCUUUUUAUUUUCUGUUG